rnacentral:rRNA from 1 species
CAGACGGGUGGCAGCAGUGAGGAAUAUUGGUCAAUGGCCGUAAGGCUGAACCAGCCAAGUAGCGUGAGGGAAGACUGCCCUAUGGGUUGUAAACCUCUUUUAUGCGGGGAUAAAGGUGUCCACGUGUGGAUGUUUGCAGGUACCGCAUGAAUAAGGACCGGCUAAUUCCGUGCCAGCAGCCGCGGGAAUACGGAGGGUCCGGGCGUUAUCCGGAUUUAUUGGGUUUAAAGGGAGCGUAGGCCGGUCUUUAAGCGAGCCGUGAAAUUUUGUGGCUCAACCAUGAGAGUGCGGCGCGAACUGGGGACCUUGAGUGCGCGAGAGGCAGGCGGAAUGCGUGGUGUAGCGGUGAAAUGCUUAGAUAUCACGAAGAACCCCGAUUGCGAAGGCAGCCUGCCGCAGCGUUACUGACGCUGAGGCUCGAAAGCGCGGGUAUCGAACAGGAUUAGAUACCCCUGUAGUC